GGGUUGUGAGGUUAAGCGACUAAGCGUACACGGUGGAUGCCCUGGCAGUCAGAGGCGAUGAAGGACGUGCUAAUCUGCGAUAAGCGUCGGUAAGGUGAUAUGAACCGUUAUAACCGGCGAUUUCCGAAUGGGGAAACCCAGUGUGAUUCGUCACACUAUCAUUAACUGAAUCCAUAGGUUAAUGAGGCGAACCGGGGGAACUGAAACAUCUAAGUACCCCGAGGAAAAGAAAUCAACCGAGAUUCCCCCAGUAGCGGCGAGCGAACGGGGAGCAGCCCAGAGCCUGAAUCAGUGUGUGUGUUAGUGGAAGCGUCUGGAAAGGCGCGCGAUACAGGGUGACAGCCCCGUACACAAAAAUGCACAUGCUGUGAGCUCGAUGAGUAGGGCGGGACACGUGGUAUCCUGUCUGAAUAUGGGGGGACCAUCCUCCAAGGCUAAAUACUCCUGACUGACCGAUAGUGAACCAGUACCGUGAGGGAAAGGCGAAAAGAACCCCGGCGAGGGGAGUGAAAAAGAACCUGAAACCGUGUACGUACAAGCAGUGGGAGCCUCUUUAUGGGGUGACUGCGUACCUUUUGUAUAAUGGGUCAGCGACUUAUAUUCUGUAGCAAGGUUAACCGAAUAGGGGAGCCGAAGGGAAACCGAGUCUUAACUGGGCGUUAAGUUGCAGGGUAUAGACCCGAAACCCGGUGAUCUAGCCAUGGGCAGGUUGAAGGUUGGGUAACACUAACUGGAGGACCGAACCGACUAAUGUUGAAAAAUUAGCGGAUGACUUGUGGCUGGGGGUGAAAGGCCAAUCAAACCGGGAGAUAGCUGGUUCUCCCCGAAAGCUAUUUAGGUAGCGCCUCGUGAACUCAUCUCCGGGGGUAGAGCACUGUUUCGGCAAGGGGGUCAUCCCGACUUACCAACCCGAUGCAAACUGCGAAUACCGGAGAAUGUUAUCACGGGAGACACACGGCGGGUGCUAACGUCCGUCGUGAAGAGGGAAACAACCCAGACCGCCAGCUAAGGUCCCAAAGUCAUGGUUAAGUGGGAAACGAUGUGGGAAGGCCCAGACAGCCAGGAUGUUGGCUUAGAAGCAGCCAUCAUUUAAAGAAAGCGUAAUAGCUCACUGGUCGAGUCGGCCUGCGCGGAAGAUGUAACGGGGCUAAACCAUGCACCGAAGCUGCGGCAGCGACGCUUAUGCGUUGUUGGGUAGGGGAGCGUUCUGUAAGCCUGUGAAGGUGUGCUGUGAGGCAUGCUGGAGGUAUCAGAAGUGCGAAUGCUGACAUAAGUAACGAUAAAGCGGGUGAAAAGCCCGCUCGCCGGAAGACCAAGGGUUCCUGUCCAACGUUAAUCGGGGCAGGGUGAGUCGACCCCUAAGGCGAGGCCGAAAGGCGUAGUCGAUGGGAAACAGGUUAAUAUUCCUGUACUUGGUGUUACUGCGAAGGGGGGACGGAGAAGGCUAUGUUGGCCGGGCGACGGUUGUCCCGGUUUAAGCGUGUAGGCUGGUUUUCCAGGCAAAUCCGGAAAAUCAAGGCUGAGGCGUGAUGACGAGGCACUACGGUGCUGAAGCAACAAAUGCCCUGCUUCCAGGAAAAGCCUCUAAGCAUCAGGUAACAUCAAAUCGUACCCCAAACCGACACAGGUGGUCAGGUAGAGAAUACCAAGGCGCUUGAGAGAACUCGGGUGAAGGAACUAGGCAAAAUGGUGCCGUAACUUCGGGAGAAGGCACGCUGAUAUGUAGGUGAAGUCCCUCGCGGAUGGAGCUGAAAUCAGUCGAAGAUACCAGCUGGCUGCAACUGUUUAUUAAAAACACAGCACUGUGCAAACACGAAAGUGGACGUAUACGGUGUGACGCCUGCCCGGUGCCGGAAGGUUAAUUGAUGGGGUCAGCGCAAGCGAAGCUCUUGAUCGAAGCCCCGGUAAACGGCGGCCGUAACUAUAACGGUCCUAAGGUAGCGAAAUUCCUUGUCGGGUAAGUUCCGACCUGCACGAAUGGCGUAAUGAUGGCCAGGCUGUCUCCACCCGAGACUCAGUGAAAUUGAACUCGCUGUGAAGAUGCAGUGUACCCGCGGCAAGACGGAAAGACCCCGUGAACCUUUACUAUAGCUUGACACUGAACAUUGAGCCUUGAUGUGUAGGAUAGGUGGGAGGCUUAGAAGUGUGGACGCCAGUCUGCAUGGAGCCGACCUUGAAAUACCACCCUUUAAUGUUUGAUGUUCUAACGUUGACCCGUAAUCCGGGUUGCGGACAGUGUCUGGUGGGUAGUUUGACUGGGGCGGUCUCCUCCUAAAGAGUAACGGAGGAGCACGAAGGUUGGCUAAUCCUGGUCGGACAUCAGGAGGUUAGUGCAAUGGCAUAAGCCAGCUUGACUGCGAGCGUGACGGCGCGAGCAGGUGCGAAAGCAGGUCAUAGUGAUCCGGUGGUUCUGAAUGGAAGGGCCAUCGCUCAACGGAUAAAAGGUACUCCGGGGAUAACAGGCUGAUACCGCCCAAGAGUUCAUAUCGACGGCGGUGUUUGGCACCUCGAUGUCGGCUCAUCACAUCCUGGGGCUGAAGUAGGUCCCAAGGGUAUGGCUGUUCGCCAUUUAAAGUGGUACGCGAGCUGGGUUUAGAACGUCGUGAGACAGUUCGGUCCCUAUCUGCCGUGGGCGCUGGAGAACUGAGGGGGGCUGCUCCUAGUACGAGAGGACCGGAGUGGACGCAUCACUGGUGUUCGGGUUGUCAUGCCAAUGGCACUGCCCGGUAGCUAAAUGCGGAAGAGAUAAGUGCUGAAAGCAUCUAAGCACGAAACUUGCCCCGAGAUGAGUUCUCCCUGACCCUUUAAGGGUCCUGAAGGAACGUUGAAGACGACGACGUUGAUAGGCCGGGUGUGUAAGCGCAGCGAUGCGUUGAGCUAACCGGUACUAAUGAACCGUGAGGCUUAACCUUACAACGCCGAAGGUGUUU
rnacentral:rRNA from 1 species